rnacentral:rRNA from 1 species
AGGUGAUAUGAACCGUUAUAACCGGCGAUUUCCGAAUGGGGAAACCCAGUGUGAUUCGUCACACUAUCAUUAACUGAAUCCAUAGGUUAAUGAGGCGAACCGGGGGAACUGAAACAUCUAAGUACCCCGAGGAAAAGAAAUCAACCGAGAUUCCCCCAGUAGCGGCGAGCGAACGGGGAGCAGCCCAGAGCCUGAAUCAGUGUGUGUGUUAGUGGAAGCGUCUGGAAAGGCGYGCGAUACAGGGUGACAGCCCCGUACACAAAAAUGCACAURCUGUGAGCUCGAUGAGUAGGGCGGGACACGUGGUAUCCUGUCUGAAUAUGGGGGGACCAUCCUCCAAGGCUAAAUACUCCUGACUGACCGAUAGUGAACCAGUACCGUGAGGGAAAGGCGAAAAGAACCCCGGCGAGGGGAGUGAAAAAGAACCUGAAACCGUGUACGUACAAGCAGUGGGAGCACGCUUAGGCGUGUGACUGCGUACCUUUUGUAUAAUGGGUCAGCGACUUAUAUUCUGUAGCAAGGUUAACCGAAUAGGGGAGCCGAAGGGAAACCGAGUCUUAACUGGGCGUUAAGUUGCAGGGUAUAGACCCGAAACCCGGUGAUCUAGCCAUGGGCAGGUUGAAGGUUGGGUAACACUAACUGGAGGACCGAACCGACUAAUGUUGAAAAAUUAGCGGAUGACUUGUGGCUGGGGGUGAAAGGCCAAUCAAACCGGGAGAUAGCUGGUUCUCCCCGAAAGCUAUUUAGGUAGCGCCUCGUGAAUUCAUCUCCGGGGGUAGAGCACUGUUUCGGCAAGGGGGUCAUCCCGACUUACCAACCCGAUGCAAACUGCGAAUACCGGAGAAUGUUAUCACGGGAGACACACGGCGGGUGCUAACGUCCGUCGUGAAGAGGGAAACAACCCAGACCGCCAGCUAAGGUCCCAAAGUCAUGGUUAAGUGGGAAACGAUGUGGGAAGGCCCAGACAGCCAGGAUGUUGGCUUAGAAGCAGCCAUCAUUUAAAGAAAGCGUAAUAGCUCACUGGUCGAGUCGGCCUGCGCGGAAGAUGUAACGGGGCUAAACCAUGCACCGAAGCUGCGGCAGCGACGCUUAUGCGUUGUUGGGUAGGGGAGCGUUCUGUAAGCCUGYGAAGGUGURCUGUGAGGYAUGCUGGAGGUAUCAGAAGUGCGAAUGCUGACAUAAGUAACGAUAAAGCGGGUGAAAAGCCCGCUCGCCGGAAGACCAAGGGUUCCUGUCCAACGUUAAUCGGGGCAGGGUGAGUCGACCCCUAAGGCGAGGCCGAAAGGCGUAGUCGAUGGGAAACAGGUUAAUAUUCCUGUACUUGGUGUUACUGCGAAGGGGGGACGGAGAAGGCUAUGUUGGCCGGGCGACGGUUGUCCCGGUUUAAGCGUGUAGGCUGGUUUUCCAGGCAAAUCCGGAAAAYYAAGGCUGAGGCGUGAUGACGAGGCACUACGGUGCUGAAGCAACAAAUGCCCUGCUUCCAGGAAAAGCCUCUAAGCAUCAGGUAACAUCAAAUCGUACCCCAAACCGACACAGGUGGUCAGGUAGAGAAUACCAAGGCGCUUGAGAGAACUCGGGUGAAGGAACUAGGCAAAAUGGUGCCGUAACUUCGGGAGAAGGCACGCUGAUAUGUAGGUGAAGUCCCUCGCGGAUGGAGCUGAAAUCAGUCGAAGAUACCAGCUGGCUGCAACUGUUUAUUAAAAACACAGCACUGUGCAAACACGAAAGUGGACGUAUACGGUGUGACGCCUGCCCGGUGCCGGAAGGUUAAUUGAUGGGGUYAGCGCAAGCGAAGCUCUUGAUCGAAGCCCCGGUAAACGGCGGCCGUAACUAUAACGGUCCUAAGGUAGCGAAAUUCCUUGUCGGGUAAGUUCCGACCUGCACGAAUGGCGUAAUGAUGGCCAGGCUGUCUCCACCCGAGACUCAGUGAAAUUGAACUCGCUGUGAAGAUGCAGUGUACCCGCGGCAAGACGGAAAGACCCCGUGAACCUUUACUAUAGCUUGACACUGAACAUUGAGCCUUGAUGUGUAGGAUAGGUGGGAGGCUUUGAAGUGUGGACGCCAGUCUGCAUGGAGCCGACCUUGAAAUACCACCCUUUAAUGUUUGAUGUUCUAACGUUGACCCGURAUCCGGGUUGCGGACAGUGUCUGGUGGGUAGUUUGACUGGGGCGGUCUCCUCCUAAAGAGUAACGGAGGAGCACGAAGGUUGGCUAAUCCUGGUCGGACAUCAGGAGGUUAGUGCAAUGGCAUAAGCCAGCUUGACUGCGAGCGUGACGGCGCGAGCAGGUGCGAAAGCAGGUCAUAGUGAUCCGGUGGUUCUGAAUGGAAGGGCCAUCGCUCAACGGAUAAAAGGUACUCCGGGGAUAACAGGCUGAUACCGCCCAAGAGUUCAUAUCGACGGCGGUGUUUGGCACCUCGAUGUCGGCUCAUCACAUCCUGGGGCUGAAGUAGGUCCCAAGGGUAUGGCUGUUCGCCAUUUAAAGUGGUACGCGAGCUGGGUUUAGAACGUCGUGAGACAGUUCGGUCCCUAUCUGCCGUGGGCGCUGGAGAAYUGAGGGGGGCUGCUCCUAGUACGAGAGGACCGGAGUGGACGCAUCACUGGUGUUCGGGUUGUCAUGCCAAUGGCACUGCCCGGUAGCUAAAUGCGGAAGAGAUAAGUGCUGAAAGCAUCUAAGCACGAAACUUGCCCCGAGAUGAGUUCUCCCUGACUCCUUGAGAGUCCUGAAGGAACGUUGAAGACGACGACGUUGAUAGGCCGGGUGUGUAAGCGCAGCGAUGCGUUGAGCUAACCGGUACUAAUGAACCGUGAGGCUUAACC